rnacentral:ncRNA from 1 species
AAACAGAUAGGCUCGAUCCUAGCCUAUUAACUCUUAGUAAGCUUACACAUGCAAACAUCCCCGCCCCAGUGAAAAUGCCCUCUAGAUCACCCACAUCAAAAGGAGCAAGUAUCAAGGGCUCACAAAUGCAGCUCAAAAACACUUUGCUCAGCCACACCCCCACAGGAAACAGCAGCGAUAAAUCUUUAGUAAUAAAUGAAAGUUUAGCUAAAAUAUGCUGAUAUCUAGGGUUAGUCAAUUUCAUGCCAGCCACCGCAGCCAUAUGGUUAACGCAAGCUAAUAGAACUCGGCCUAAAGCGUGUUUAAGGUCUGCCCUCAAUAAACCUAAACUCCAUCUAAGUUGUAAAAAACUUCAGCUGAAAUAAAAUAUACUACGAAAGUGGCUUUAGUAUCUUGAAGACACAAUGGCUAAGACUCAAACUGGGAUUAGAUACCCCACUAUGCUUAGCCCUAAACUCUAGUAGUUACAUUAACAAAACCAUUCGUCAGAAUACUACAAGCAACAGCUUAAAACUCAAAGGACCUGGCAGUGCUUUAUAUCCCUCUAGAAGAGCUUGUUCUAUAAUCGAUAUACCCCAAUACACCUCACCACCUCUUGCCCCCAGCCUAUUACCACCAUCUUCAGCAAACCCUAAAAAGGUUGUAAAGUAAGCACAAGUGUACACACAAAAAUCUGGUUGGUGUAGCUCAUGAGGUGGCAAGAAUUGGGCUACAUUUUCUAUAUCCAAAAAAUAUCAUGACUACCUUUAUGAAAUCUAAGGGCUCAAGGAGGAUGUAGCAGUAAACCCAGAGCAGAGUGCUUGGCCAUGAAGCACGCACACACUGCCCAUCACCCUCCUCCAGUACUAUUCUAGAGAUUACUAUUACUAAAAACUUUCUACACAUGUAGAGACGAGAUAAGUCUUAACACGGUGAGUGUACUGGAAAGUACAUUUGGGAAAAGUAAAGU